rnacentral:rRNA from 1 species
UACAGGGGGUGCAAACGUUGCUCGGAAUCAUUGGGCGUAAAGCGCACGUAGGCGGUCCGUUAUGUCGGAUGUGAAAGCCCUUGGCUUAACUGAGGAAGUGCAUCCGAAACUGGCAGGCUAGAGUACUAAAGAGGGUCGCGGAAUUCCCGGUGUAGAGGUGAAAUUCGUAGAUAUCGGGAGGAACACCGGUGGCGAAGGCGGCGACCUGGGUAGAUACUGACGCUGAGGUGCGAAAGCGUGGGGAGCAAACAGG